rnacentral:rRNA from 1 species
UCAGGCCUAACACAUGCAAGUCGAGGGGUAGAGUUAGCUUGCUAACUUGAGACCGGCGCGCGGGUGCGUAACGCGUACGCAAUCUACCUUGUACAGAGGGAUAGCCCAGAGAAAUUUGGAUUAAUACCUCAUAGUAUCUUCGAGAGGCCUCUCUUGAUUAUUAAAGUUCCAACGGUACAAGAUGAGCAUGCGUCCCAUUAGCUAGUUGGUAUGGUAACGGCAUACCAAGGCUAUGAUGGGUAGGGGUCCUGAGAGGGAGAUCCCCCACACUGGUACUGAGACACGGACCAGACUCCUACGGGAGGCAGCAGUGAGGAAUAUUGGUCAAUGGGCGAGAGCCUGAACCAGCCAUGCCGCGUGCAGGAAGACGGUCCUAUGGAUUGUAAACUGCUUUUAUACAGGAAGAAACCCUCCCACGUGUGGGAGCUGAC